rnacentral:rRNA from 1 species
CGACUCCAUGAAGCUGGAUUCGCUAGUAAUCGCGCAUCAGCCACGGCGCGGUGAAUACGUUCCCGGGCCUUGUACACACCGCCCGUCAAGCCAUGGAAGCCGGGGGUGCCUGAAGUGCGCUGCCGCGAGGAGCGCCCUAGGGUAAAACCGGUGACUGGGGCUAAGUCGUAACAAGGUAUC